rnacentral:sRNA from 2 species
AAUGCGCAAGGGAUUGAAGUGGCAUCCUUUUUAUGUCAUUUUGAGCGGAGUCGAGAAAUUACAUAAAAAAGAUAUAACGGAAAGCCCGACCCAUA